CCUGGCGGCAAUAGCGCGGUGGUCCCACCUGACCCCAUGCCGAACUCAGAAGUGAAACGCCGUAGCGCCGAUGGUA
rnacentral:rRNA from 1 species